ensembl:lncRNA
AUGAAAGGUGGGGGGAGAAAACCAAGAAGAAAAGAAAUAAUAAUGAUUGGAGGUUCCCUCAACCUCCUCUCUUGUGACCUACCAGCCAGUAUGCGACUUAUCCUUCCCAGUGCUUCUCCCUCUUUCUGCCUGGACUUCCAGUUUCCCCAGUUCCUUUUGGUCGCCACGCAGACCCCUCCAACACCUCGGAUUCAAAACAUCUCCAUCGGAAAAAGAAGAUCCCGGACAAGUAGAAGAUUUCCCUACCUGGGAACGUCCUUCGGAGCCUCCCACACCGCCCCCGCCCCACUUCCCUUUCUCCUCCCCUUUAUUCCCCUCUUCCUCUCUUCCAUACCUUUUUCCUCCCUCCCUUCUCUUUUCUAUUUUCUCUCUCCCCACUCCUCCCCGCAUUUUUCUCUCUUCCUUACUUUUCUUUUCCUCCCUUUCUUCUUCCCUCUAAAUCUCCCCCAUCUCUUCCCUAGUCUUCUCUCCCACACACUGAAUCAUAGUUAGAAUUCUAAAUGAUCUUGAUAGCUUAGAAACUAAUAAAAGAAAAUGUAAUAAGGAUGCAUAGAAACUCUUAAAUUCUGGUUCAAAAGAAUUGAUUUCAACAUUCCAGAGGAGAAGAGGUAGCUGUUAGCUAGCAGUUCAUUUGAAAAAAGAUCUGGGGAUUGUGAUGAAGUGCAAUUUCAGUAAGUCAUUCUUGUAUAUGAUAUCCAAUAUCACAUGGUUUGCCAAAACAAAAACCUGAGGUCACUUCCUGAUUAAGAAAAUCAGAGCUUCUGGUAUUAAGGAACAGAACACCACAUUGUAUUUUGUUCUGAUUAGCUCACAUUUAGAAGUGGAUUGUUCAUGUCUUGACAUUAUAUUUCGGAAAGAACAUUGAUAAUUUGCACAGCUAUCCAAGCUAGAUGAUACAGUUGAUUAAAUUGCUUCCUGCUUCAAAAAACUAUGUAUUGAGGCAGCUAGAUUGCCGGGGUGGAUAGUGCCCCAGCCCGGAAUCAGUAGGAUCUGAGUUCAAAUUCAGCCUCAAAACACAUUUUCUAGCCGUGUGACCCUGGGCAAACAAAAACUAUGUAUGUGUCCCUGAGUGAACUUAAGCUCUCUCAACCUCAGUUUCCUUGUCUGUAAUAUGAGGAUGAUUAAUAUCUUCCUCUCAGAGAACAAAAUAAAGCAAUAUUUAUAAAAUGCAUUGCUAUAUAAAUGCUAGUUAUUACCAUCAAGAAGAGGAAAGAGAAUUUUAAUGUAAUGUCAAGUGAGAAUCCAUUGAAGGAAUUUAAGUAGAGAAAGGUAGUAAUGCGAGAUAACUAUCUUCAGGCAUUUGAAAGGUAUGGUACAGAAAUUAUAUUUGUCCUAUUUGGUCUCAAAGCAGAGAACCAGGUGCCCAGGAGAUAGUACAAAGAGGCAAAUUGAGACUUGAUAACAGGAAGACUUCCUAGUUAUUAAAACUAUCCCAGAAAUGAAUUGGGAUGUCAUGGAAGGUGUAAUGAGUGCCUUCCCCCUUGGAGGAUGGAGGAUAUCAAGGGAAAUUUAGAUGCAUACUUGUUAGAUAGUCUGCGGAAGGAAUGCUUUGGGGAAAUAAGUUGGACUGGAUCGCUGCUGACAUCCUUUUCAAUUCUGAAAUUCUGUUAUUCUUCCCUUUUUAUCUUACCAUUGUUCCCUGUGUGUGUGUGUGUGUGUGUGUGUGUGUCUAUUUCUAUGUCUUUGUCUUUCUGAUUCAAUUUUUGUGUCUUUCUCUUAGUUUCUGUCUCUGUUUUGGCUUUGUCUAUAUCUCUAUCUCUGUUUCUCUGUCUUUGUCUCUAUUCUGUCUUUCUCUGAAUCUCUUUAUGCCUCUGCCUCCCUCCCUCUCUUUGCCUCUCUUUCUUUUCCUCUCUUGUCUCCCUCUUCCUUUUCUUCUCUUGACCUUGCUCUUUCUUUCUUUCCCCCCCUUUUUUUUUAUAAUAUAAAGUUAGGAGCUAAGUGGUAGUAAGGACCUUAGAGUAUCAAAGACUUUAAAAGGAGUUUUUCUUGUGAAGUUCUAGACUGAGACCAAAAGACAAAGAAAGUUAAGAUAUUAUGGGGUUAUCUUGGAAUCCACUGGAACAUCAGAGCUGAAAAGAACCAUUUGGACUUUAUAAGAAAAGAAAACUGAGGACUAAUUCCAGGUCACAAAACAGAUUAGUGGCAGAACUGGGUUUGGAACCCUCCCUUCCCUUUAAAGCAGCUAUAAUAUUUAUUUUGUUUGUUUUUUUAAAGGGCUGUUAAACCUAUCUUAACACUCCUCACUUCUUUUCUCAGCCACUUAUAAUGAUAACCCUAAAAUAAAAUGAAAUAAUAACUGCAUUUGACAGUAUUUGCUCUUCUUUCCCUAUAAAUGAACAGGGAAUUAAAAUCUCUAACUUCAUGAAGACUCAUUUGAUCUGGGAGUGUUAUCAAAGGUAGCUAACAUCUUCUUUCCCAAAAGAUCAGCCUUGGGGUCUAGGGUCAGAGGGAAAGUGAGCCCUAAAUGUCUGUUUGUAACUUAGAGGUUUUUCUCCACAAUUAUUUUUAAAUGAGGUUGAUUAAAUCAGGAUUGUAAGGAUCUAGGCAUUGCAAUGAAUAGAGUGCUUGAUCUGGAGUCAGACCUAAGUUCAAAUCCAGUUUCAAACACACACAAGCUGUGUGAUCCUAGGUGAGCCAUCUAAUUUCUGCCUCAGUUUCUUCAGCUGUAUAUAUAAUACUAAUAAUAAAUAUUGUUGUUUAUAAAAAGAAAUACCACUAAUUCCCUGAGAUUUUGGGAGGAAUAAAUGAGAAUAUUUGUAAAAUACUCCAUGUAAAGCCCGGGUAGGCAAUAUCCAUAUUAACAUAAACAUGAAUCUUUUGAAAUAUUAAAUGAAGUAAUUUUAUAACAUAAGCUAUAAUUUACAUAUAGAAAACACUGUUUAAAUGUUUGGACCAAUUCUUAGGCUGAGAAAAGCUUGACAAUAUUUUAGCAACAGUCACAAUCAAUAAUCAUUUUUAAGGUCUCUAGCUUAAAAACUUCUGUAUUGAUAUUACUUUCUUGAAGUGAAUAAAAGUUUCCAAUCUUGAUUCAAUCAAUAUUUGUUUACUUUUUCCCAAACAAUUCAAACAUUUCCUUGUUCCAUUUCCUUUUUGUUUGUUUUUCUUUUCAAAGUUUUAAAUGAAGCUUUUCUCUGGGUUUAGGCAGGGUCUAUUUGAGAGUUUGAAGGUGUGUGUGUGUGUGUGUUCCUCAAUCUGAGGAACCUAACCAUACUUGAACAGACACCUUUUCUGCAAUCUUGUCAAUGGCACCUGUGCAGUACACUCAGGCAGCUAGGCAUUUGUUUUUAUUCUUCCUCAUCCCCGUAGAUUUUCUCAAACAAUCCACUAAUAUUUCAGUGACAACAGCUAGUGCCACAUAGGCCUUGAGCCUCACUGGAUCAAGGCCAGGUCUAGCAAAGUUCCAGAUAAUGUCUUCCAUUCUGACCCUGACUGAUGAUCCCAACUAUGUUGGCAGUUCUCUGAUACAAGGGCCACCAGCCACUCAAAGGGCAAGGGCUGGUGCUGCCAUAUGGCCACAAGAGGGGAACAUUGUUUCAUUUAUUGCCCACAGGAACACUACCCAUUCCUGAUAGCCAAAGGGAUAAUGCUUUAAAAAAAUUUCAGAGUCUAUGAACAUCUCACACCUCUUUUUGCAAAGAAGGAAACCGAAGUUCCCAAAGUUGAAAUAAUUCACUCAAAAUUAUACAGGAAUUACACAUUUAAGAGGUGAGAUUUUAAUUCAUGUCAUACCACCACUAGGGCUUUUUAUUACUAUACUAUAUGGAAUUUCAAAGGAUGCUAACUAGAUAUCAUGAUAUCAUAAGAAUAUAAUUUCUGUUGCAUUUUCUAAGUUUAGAAUACUUUUUUCAUGUGAAGUUUUGAGCAUCAGUUUUUACUAAAUAUGGACGUUUUUAUGUAUUUUAUAAAUGUGAAUAAGAAUUCCAUCUUGAAGGCAGCAGGGUGACUCAGUGGGUAGAAUCCUGAGUCUGGAGUCAGGAAGACCUGAAUUCAAAUAUGACCUCAGAUACUAACUAACUGCAUUAGACUGGGUAAGUCAGUCAACUCUGUUUAUCUCAUCUGUAAAAUGAAUUGGAGAAGAAAAAGACAAAACAUUUCAAUAUCUUUGCCAAGAAAAUGUAAUGGACAGUAUAAUCCAUAGGUUCACAAAAAGUCAUACAUGAUUAAAUUGAACAAUCACAAAAGAAUUCCCAUUUUAAAGAAGACAAAAUCUCUAAGAGGUGAAGAGGAUGUGAAAGGUCACAUGGUUAGUGAACAUAGAAGCAGAGAGAUUGAAAGGGAUUCUAAAAACAUUUAGUUAGAAAGAUUAAUUCAUUAAAAUAGGAAAUUAUCAGAUAGUCAACUAGGGUGGGAUUCUCAUCCCUCUCUCCCUUCACUUUGCAGAUAAAGAAAAUGAGACAGAAUAAGGAAGGGACAAUUAGCAAAACAGCAAAGGCAAAUCUGAGCCCAGAUCACUGAAUUACAGAAUUGCAAAUUACUUCAGCAUAAAACUUCUAAAACAUACCCAAUAGGUGGCCAUCCAGCUUGUACCCGCAUACCCAUUCAGGUACUUGGAAAACAACUACUGUUUACUAGAAAGAUGAGAGAGAGAGAGAGAGAGAGAGAGAGAGAGAGAGAGAGAGAGAGAGAGAGAGCCUGAGAGACAGAGACAAAGACAGAGAGGCAGAGAGAGAGACACACAGAGAGAGAGAGAGACAGAGAAAGACACAGUCAGAAAGACAGAAAGAGAGAGAAAGAGAGAAUGACCAAAAGCUGCCCACUAGA